rnacentral:rRNA from 1 species
CACGUAUUUAGCCGGAGCUUCUUAGUCAGGUACCGUCAUUUUCUUCCCUGCUGAUAGAGCUUUACAUACCGAAAUACUUCUUCACUCACGCGGCGUUGCUGCAUCAGGGUUCCCCCCAUUGUGCAAUAUUCCCCACUGCUGCCUCCCGUAGGAGUUUGGGCCGUGUCUCAGUCCCAAUGUGGCCGUCCACUCUCUCAAGCCGGCUACUGAUCGUUGUCUUGGUAGGCCGUUACCCUGCCAACUAACUAAUCAGACGCGGGCCCAUCCUGUACCACCGGAGUUUUUCCUGCUGUACCAUGCGGCACUGUAGGCUUAUGCGGUAUUAGCAGCCGUUUCCAGCUGUUGUCCCCCUGUACAGGGCAGGUUACCCACGCGUUACUCACCCGUCCGCCACUCAGUCCUGCGCAUCUUCCCUCCGGAGAGUUCCGCCGCGCAGUCUUCGUUCGACUUGCAUGUGUUAGGCACGCCGCCAGCGUUCAUCCUGAGCCAGGAUCAAACU